rnacentral:rRNA from 1 species
GACGAACGCUGGCGGCGUGCCUAAUACAUGCAAGUCGAACGAGUGGCGGACGGGUGAGUAAUGUCUGGGAAACUGCCUGAUGGAGGGGGAUAACUACUGGAAACGGUAGCUAAUACCGCAUACCAUCAGAUGUUCCCAGAUGGGAUUAGCUAGUAGGUGGGGUAACGGCUCACCUAGGCGACGAUCCCUAGCUGGUCUGAGAGGAUGACCAGCCAAACUGGAACUGAGACACGGUCCAGAGUCCUACGGGAGGCAGCAGUGGGAAAGAUUGCACAAUGGGCGCAAGCCUGAUGCAGCCAUGCCGCGUGUAUGAAGAAGGCCUUCGGGUUGUAAAGUACUUUCAGCGGGGAGGCGUUACCCGCAGAAGAAGCACCGGCUAACUCCGUGCCAGCAGCCGCGGUAAUUC